rnacentral:rRNA from 1 species
GACGAACGCUGGCGGCGCGCCUAACACAUGCAAGUCGAACGAGCGAGAGAGAGCUUGCUUUCUUGAGCGAGUGGCGAACGGGUGAGUAACGCGUGAGGAACCUGCCUCAAAGAGGGGGACAACAGUUGGAAACGACUGCUAAUACCGCAUAAGCCCACGGUGCCGCAUGGCACAGAGGGAAAAGGAGCAAUCCGCUGUGAGAUGGCCUCGCGUCCGAUUAGCUAGUUGGUGAGGUAACGGCCCACCAAGGCGACGAUCGGUAGCCGGACGGAGAGGUUGAACCGCCACAUUGGGACUGAGACACGGCCCAGACUCCUACGGGAGGCAGCAGUGGGGAAUAUUGCACGAUGGGGGAAACCCUGAUGCAGCGACGCCGCGUGGAGGAAGAAGGUCUUCGGAUUGUAAACUCCUGUUGUUGGGGAAGAUAAUGACGGUACCCAACAAGGAAGUGACGGCUAACUACGUG